UUGUAAAGCCCUUUUAGCGAGGAGGAAGGGAUUGAUGUUAAUAGCAUUAAUCUUUGACGUUACUCGCAGAAAAAGCACCGGCUAACUCUGUGC
rnacentral:rRNA from 1 species